UGCCAGCCGCCGCGGUAAUGCGGAGGGUGCAAGCGUUGCUCGGAAUCACUGGGCGUAAAGCGAACGCAGGCGGCCCGCAAAGUCGGGUGUGAAAGCCCGGGGCUCAACCCCGGAAUUGCACUCGAAACUUGCGGCCUUGAGUAUGGGAGAGGGAAGCGGAAUUCCUGGUGUAGAGGUGAAAUUCGUAGAUGUCAGGAGGAACACCCGUGGCGAAAGCGGCUUCCUGGCACAUUUCUGACGCUGAGGCGCGAAAGCGUGGGGAGCAAACAGGAUUAGAUA
rnacentral:rRNA from 1 species